AUCUUCUAUCCUUAUACACGACCUCCACUCCUUUCGAAAAUAUAUAAGAACAUUUUCCACACAUAUUUUUUAAGGUACCAAACACACCUAAAUUUAGAUUAAUUUCCUGUACUACUACAGUCAGCAAACACUCCAUUAUUGAAAAACAAAAAGAGCCAGAGAGACAGAGUAACUCUUUAAGUGUAAGAAAAAUUGUGCUACUGCUAAACAAUCAUAGUAGAAAUGGAAGUUAGCUCAAAAUGGAGAUGGAAUUUUGAAGGAAAAGAAGAAGCAAAGACAGCAUCAGCUUGCACUAUUGGAAGUUAUCUCAAUACAUUAAAUGAAAACAUUAACAAAAAUGAUACUACAAAAAGUGUAAUCCCUCUUAGCCAUGGAGACCCUAGUGGUUUUCCAAGUUUUCGAACAAGUAAAGUAUCAGAGGAUGCUCUUGUUGAUGCACUUCAAUCUGCGAAAUACAAUGGAUAUCAUGGAAACCCUGAUAUUUUCCACGCCAGUAGGUCAAUUGCAGAAUAUCUGUCUCGUGACUAUCCAUAUAAAUUGUCGCCAAAUGAUGUUCUUGUCACAGCUGGGGCAAAGCAUGGAAUAGAUGUCCUAAUUACAGCUCUUGCUGUUCCUGGUGCUAAUAUUUUGCUUCCUAGACCAGGGUAUCCAGCGUAUAAAGCACUAGCCACAUUUAACCGUCUUGAAAUGAGGCACUAUGAUCUUCUCCCUGAGCAGGAUUGGAAGGUGGACAUCGAUGGGCUUGAAGCUCUAGCAGAUGAUAAAACUGUUGCCAUGGUUGUUAUAAACCCCGGUAAUCCAUGUGGGAAUGUGUACGAGCGAGAGCAUUUGAAGAAGAUUGCAGAGGCAGCAAGUAAGCUUGGAAUGCUAGUAAUAUCAGAUGAAGCGUACGGUCAUCUAGUGUUCGGUAGUAAUCCGUUUGUGCCAAUGGGCGUCUAUGGAGAAAUUGCACCUAUUUUGACAAUUGGCUCCAUAUCAAAGAGAUGGAUGGUUCCUGGUUGGCGAUUUGGAUGGAUCGUGAUGUGUGAUCCCAAUGGCAUCCUUCAAAAACAUGGGGUUGCGGAGUCUAUCAAGAACUACCUCAACAUCGGUGUUGGUCCUCCUACAUUCACUCUGGGUGCUAUUUCUCGUAUUCUUGUUGAAACACCUGAAGAUUUCUACUCAAAUAUCAUAAACCUACUGAGAAAAGCAGCAGACAUUUGCUAUGCUGGUCUAAGGGAGAUUCCGUGCUUUACUCCAUACAAGUCACAGGGAUCCAUGUUUCUUAUGCGAUCAUUUCUAUCAGGCAAAACUAAACAUGUCAUUGUUGGAAGGCAUCGACAAUGAUAUGGAAUUCUGCACCAGGCUUGCUAGAGAGGAAUCUGCAAUUGUUCUACCCGGAGAAGCACUUGGAUUGAAGAAUUGGGUAAGAGUUACAUUUGCUGUGGAAAUUUCAGCUCUUGAGGAUGGCCUUAGCAGGAUCAAAGCCUUUUGUUUCAGAAAUGCCAAACAACAAUAAGCCAUUUUUCUUCUGUCAAACUUUGUCCAAGUCUAACACAAAACAAAUACUAAUAAAAGUGGUAAGAGUUUGAUAUGAUGAUUUCUACAUGACAAUUCGCGUUAUAAGAUGAAUUUGUCUACUAGUUCAAUUUUAUACAACUUUGAAA